GGAUCGGUAGCCUUGAGGUAAUUCGCUUCAUAAGCGGAAGGUCAUGGGUUCAAUUCCCAGCCCCUCCA
rnacentral:tRNA from 1 species